rnacentral:rRNA from 1 species
GACGAACGCUGGCGGCGUGCUUAACACAUGCAAGUCGAACGCUGAAGCUCAGCUUUUGUUGGGUGGAUGAGUGGCGAACGGGUGAGUAACACGUGAGUAACCUGCCCCCUUCUUUGGGAUAACGCCCGGAAACGGGUGCUAAUACUGGAUAUUCACUGGUCUUCGCAUGGGGGGUGGUGGAAAGGGUUUUUCUGGUGGGGGAUGGGCUCGCGGCCUAUCAGCUUGUUGGUGGGGUGAUGGCCUACCAAGGCUUUGACGGGUAGCCGGCCUGAGAGGGUGACCGGUCACAUUGGGACUGAGAUACGGCCCAGACUCCUACGGGAGGCAGCAGUGGGGAAUAAUGCACAAUGGGCGCAAGCCUGAUGCAGCGCCGCCGCGUGAGGGAUGGAGGCCUUCGGGUUGUGAACCUCUUUCGCUCAUGGUCAAGCCGCAACAAUGGUUGUGGUGAGGGUAGUGGGUAAAGAAGCGCCGGCUAACUACGUG